AACGUAGGUCCCGAGCGUUAUCCGGAUUUACUGGGCGUAAAGCGUGUUCAGGCGGUCUAGCAAGUCGGGCAUGAAAUCUCUCGGCUCAACCGGGAGGGGUUGUCCGAUACUGCUGGGCUUGAGGGCAGCAGAGGGUGGUGGAAUUCCGGGUGUAGUGGUGAAAUGCGUAGAUAUCGGGAGGAACACCUGUGGCGAAGGCGGCUUUCUGGGCCUUACCUGACGCUGAGACGCGAAAGCGUGGGGAGCGAACCGG
rnacentral:rRNA from 1 species